rnacentral:tRNA from 1 species
UUGUUUUUAUUCUAAAUAAUUUACAGGCUAAUGUUGACCGUCCUCGUUUCUCUUCUUAAAAGUGAGUGUUUCUCUUGAAUGGGGGCCGGUAGCUCAGUUGGUUAGAGCACACCCUUGAUAAGGGUGGGGUCGAAAGUUCGAGUCUUUCUCGGCCCACCAAAAGAUUAAGGGGGGAUUAGCUCAGCUGGGAGAGCGCCUGAUUUGCAUUCAGGAGGUCAGCGGUUCGAUCCCGCUAUCCUCCACCAAAACACUUAGCUAUUAAAAUUGUAAAUAAUAAUUAUUAAUAUCAAUAUCUAUAUCCGAACAUUAACAAUGUUGUUAUCAAGUUAAUGUUCAAAAAAAUUUAAUUCAACACAGAAUUUUUUUCUGUGCAUAAAUUAAGCGUUUAAGGGCGUGUGGUGGAUGCCUUGGC